AUUGAACGCUGGCGGCAGGCCUAACACAUGCAAGUCGAACGAGUGGCGGACGGGUGAGUAAUGUCUGGGAAACUGCCCGAUGGAGGGGGAUAACUACUGGAAACGGUAGCUAAUACGGCAUACCAUCGGAUGUGCCCAGCUGGGAUUAGCUAGUGGGUGGGGUAACGGCUCACCUAGGCGACGAUCCCUAGCUGGUCUGAGAGGAUGACCAGCCACACUGGAACUGAGACACGGUCCAGACUCCUACGGGAGGCAGCAUGAGGGAAUAUUGCACAAUGGGCGCAAGCCUGAUGCAUCCAUGCCGCGUGUAUGAAGAAGGCCUUCGGGUUGUAAAGUACUUUCAGCGAGGAGGCGGUACUCGCAGAAGAAGCCCCGGCUAACUCCGUGCCAGCAGCCGCGGUAAUAC
rnacentral:rRNA from 1 species